GAAUUUUAUAUAAAUUUAUUAAUGAGUGGGAGAGGUAUAUAUAUUAGUAUAUUUAUAUUUUAUUGGGAGGAUAUGUAAAUUAAAUAAACUUUAUAUAAAUAAAAUCAUUAAUUUAUGAAUUAUAGUAAUUGAUGAGUGGCUUGACUUAAGUUUAGGAAGAAUUAAUUACCUUAGGGAUAACAGCAUAAUAUCUUUAGAGAGAUCAUAUUAAUAAAGAUGAUUGU
rnacentral:rRNA from 1 species